GACGAACGCUGGCGGCGUGCUUAACACAUGCAAGUCGAACGAUGAUGUCUGGUGCUUGCACCAGGCUGAUUAGUGGCGAACGGGUGAGUAACACGUGAGUAACCUGCCCCCGACUGCGGGAUAAGCCCGGGAAACUGGGUCUAAUACCGCAUAUGACGCCUGGCCGCAUGGCCUGGGUGUGGAAAGUUUUUCGGUUGGGGAUGGGCUCGCGGCCUAUCAGCUUGUUGGUGGGGUAAAGGCCUACCAAGGCGACGACGGGUAGCCGGCCUGAGAGGGCGACCGGCCACACUGGGACUGAGACACGGCCCAGACUCCUACGGGAGGCAGCAGUGGGGAAUAUUGCACAAUGGGGGAAACCCUGAUGCAGCGACGCCGCGUGAGGGAUGACGGCCUUCGGGUUGUAAACCUCUUUCAGUAGGGAAGAAGCCUUUCGGGGUGACGGUA
rnacentral:rRNA from 1 species